GAUGAAGGACGUUACUAACGACGAUAUGCUUUGGGGAGCUGUAAGUAAGCUUUGAUCCAGAGAUUUCCGAAUGGGGAAACCCAGCAUGAGUUAUGUCAUGUUAUCGAUAUGUGAAUACAUAGCAUAUCAGAAGGCACACCCGGAGAACUGAAACAUCUUAGUACCCGGAGGAAGAGAAAGAAAAUUCGAUUCCCUUAGUAGCGGCGAGCGAAACGGGAAGAGCCCAAACCAACAAGCUUGCUUGUUGGGGUUGUAGGACACUCUAUACGGAGUUACAAAGGACGACAUUAGACGAAUCAUCUGGAAAGAUGAAUCAAAGAAGGUAAUAAUCCUGUAGUCGAAAAUGUUGUCUCUCUUGAGUGGAUCCUGAGUACGACGGAGCACGUGAAAUUCCGUCGGAAUCUGGGAGGACCAUCUCCUAAGGCUAAAUACUCUCUAGUGACCGAUAGUGAACCAGUACCGUGAGGGAAAGGUGAAAAGCACCCCGGAAGGGGAGUGAAAUAGAACCUGAAACCGUGUGCUUACAAGUAGUCAGAGCCCGUUAAUGGGUGAUGGCGUGCCUUUUGUAGAAUGAACCGGCGAGUUACGAUUUGAUGCAAGGUUAAGCAGUAAAUGUGGAGCCGUAGCGAAAGCGAGUCUGAAUAGGGCGUUUAGUAUUUGGUCGUAGACCCGAAACCAGGUGAUCUACCCUUGGUCAGGUUGAAGUUCAGGUAACACUGAAUGGAGGACCGAACCGACUUACGUUGAAAAGUGAGCGGAUGAACUGAGGGUAGCGGAGAAAUUCCAAUCGAACCUGGAGAUAGCUGGUUCUCUCCGAAAUAGCUUUAGGGCUAGCCUCAAGUGAUGAUUAUUGGAGGUAGAGCACUGUUUGGACGAGGGGCCCCUCUCGGGUUACCGAAUUCAGACAAACUCCGAAUGCCAAUUAAUUUAACUUGGGAGUCAGAACAUGGGUGAUAAGGUCCGUGUUCGAAAGGGAAACAGCCCAGACCACCAGCUAAGGUCCCAAAAUAUAUGUUAAGUGGAAAAGGAUGUGGCGUUGCCCAGACAACUAGGAUGUUGGCUUAGAAGCAGCCAUCAUUUAAAGAGUGCGUAAUAGCUCACUAGUCGAGUGACACUGCGCCGAAAAUGUACCGGGGCUAAACAUAUUACCGAAGCUGUGGAUUGUCCUUUGGACAAUGGUAGGAGAGCGUUCUAAGGGCGUUGAAGCAUGAUCGUAAGGACAUGUGGAGCGCUUAGAAGUGAGAAUGCCGGUGUGAGUAGCGAAAGACGGGUGAGAAUCCCGUCCACCGAUUGACUAAGGUUUCCAGAGGAAGGCUCGUCCGCUCUGGGUUAGUCGGGUCCUAAGCUGAGGCCGACAGGCGUAGGCGAUGGAUAACAGGUUGAUAUUCCUGUACCACCUAUAAUCGUUUUAAUCGAUGGGGGGACGCAGUAGGAUAGGCGAAGCGUGCGAUUGGAUUGCACGUCUAAGCAGUAAGGCUGAGUAUUAGGCAAAUCCGGUACUCGUUAAGGCUGAGCUGUGAUGGGGAGAAGACAUUGAGUCUUCGAGUCGUUGAUUUCACACUGCCGAGAAAAGCCUCUAGAUAGAAAAUAGGUGCCCGUACCGCAAACCGACACAGGUAGUCAAGAUGAGAAUUCUAAGGUGAGCGAGCGAACUCUCGUUAAGGAACUCGGCAAAAUGACCCCGUAACUUCGGGAGAAGGGGUGCUCUUUAGGGUUAACGCCCAGAAGAGCCGCAGUGAAUAGGCCCAAGCGACUGUUUAUCAAAAACACAGGUCUCUGCUAAACCGUAAGGUGAUGUAUAGGGGCUGACGCCUGCCCGGUGCUGGAAGGUUAAGAGGAGUGGUUAGCUUCUGCGAAGCUACGAAUCGAAGCCCCAGUAAACGGCGGCCGUAACUAUAACGGUCCUAAGGUAGCGAAAUUCCUUGUCGGGUAAGUUCCGACCCGCACGAAAGGCGUAACGAUUUGGGCACUGUCUCAACGAGAGACUCGGUGAAAUCAUAGUACCUGUGAAGAUGCAGGUUACCCGCGACAGGACGGAAAGACCCCGUGGAGCUUUACUGUAGCCUGAUAUUGAAAUUCGGCACAGCUUGUACAGGAUAGGUAGGAGCCUUUGAAACGUGAGCGCUAGCUUACGUGGAGGCGCUGGUGGGAUACUACCCUAGCUGUGUUGGCUUUCUAACCCGCACCACUUAUCGUGGUGGGAGACAGUGUCAGGCGGGCAGUUUGACUGGGGCGGUCGCCUCCUAAAAGGUAACGGAGGCGCUCAAAGGUUCCCUCAGAAUGGUUGGAAAUCAUUCAUAGAGUGUAAAGGCAUAAGGGAGCUUGACUGCGAGACCUACAAGUCGAGCAGGGUCGAAAGACGGACUUAGUGAUCCGGUGGUUCCGCAUGGAAGGGCCAUCGCUCAACGGAUAAAAGCUACCCCGGGGAUAACAGGCUUAUCUCCCCCAAGAGUUCACAUCGACGGGGAGGUUUGGCACCUCGAUGUCGGCUCAUCGCAUCCUGGGGCUGUAGUCGGUCCCAAGGGUUGGGCUGUUCGCCCAUUAAAGCGGUACGCGAGCUGGGUUCAGAACGUCGUGAGACAGUUCGGUCCCUAUCCGUCGUGGGCGUAGGAAAUUUGAGAGGAGCUGUCCUUAGUACGAGAGGACCGGGAUGGACAUACCUCUGGUGUACCAGUUGUCGUGCCAACGGCAUAGCUGGGUAGCUAUGUGUGGACGGGAUAAGUGCUGAAAGCAUCUAAGCAUGAAGCCCCCCUCAAGAUGAGAUUUCCCAACUUCGGUUAUAAGAUCCCUCAAAGAUGAUGAGGUUAAUAGGUUCGAGGUGGAAGCAUGGUGACAUGUGGAGCUGACGAAUACUAA
rnacentral:rRNA from 1 species